UCCCUGGAGGACUAGUGGUUAGGCCACAGCGCUCUCAACCGCUGCGGCCUGGGUUCGAACCGACCCCAGCCACUGAU